GAAUCUUUUGUUUAAGUGUUGGAUUCUUAAUCCAUUUUUAGGAACUUAUUGUUUCCCAGUUUUA
rnacentral:tRNA from 1 species